GCUUGUUGCGCAUCUAUAAGAGGAGACGCCGUUUCCAGUUCGAGCAGAGUAUCCACCACCCGGUACUACUUGACACGCUGUAAUCAUGGUCCGCGGCGCUGGCUGGCUGGUGACCCUGUUGGUGGUGGCUGUGGUGCUGCUGCACGCGGCCGUGGCCGACCCCGGCGUCUUCAGUUCCCCCAUCUGCGCUCACAACCGCGGCGCGUAAGCGCGCCCACAGCGGCGUCCAAGCGGUCAGCCACAUGGCGUGUCACGUCUUUCUAGCUCCAGAAUUCUCACAACAGGUGUCCACAAGAUGAACUCACAGUGUAUAAUUUGAAUCUAAUAAAGCAGCUGUAUAUAUCA